rnacentral:rRNA from 1 species
GAUGAACGCUGGCGGCGUGCCUAAUACAUGCAAGUCGAGCGAACGGACGAGAAGCUUGCUUCUCUGAUGUUAGCGGCGGACGGGUGAGUAACACGUGGAUAACCUACCUAUAAGACUGGGAUAACUUCGGGAAACCGGAGCUAAUACCGGAUAAUAUUUUGAACCGCAUGGUUCAAAAGUGAAAGACGGUCUUGCUGUCACUUAUAGAUGGAUCCGCGCUGCAUUAGCUAGUUGGUAAGGUAACGGCUUACCAAGGCAACGAUGCAUAGCCGACCUGAGAGGGUGAUCGGCCACACUGGAACUGAGACACGGUCCAGACUCCUACGGGAGGCAGCAGUAGGGAAUCUUCCGCAAUGGGCGAAAGCCUGACGGAGCAACGCCGCGUGAGUGAUGAAGGUCUUCGGAUCGUAAAACUCUGUUAUUAGGGAAGAACAUAUGUGUAAGUAACUGUGCACAUCUUGACGGUACCUAAUCAGAAAGCCACGGCUAACUACGUGCCAGCAGCCGCGGUAAUACGUAGGUGGCAAGCGUUAUCCGGAAUUAUUGGGCGUAAAGCGCGCGUAGGCGGUUUUUUAAGUCUGAUGUGAAAGCCCACGGCUCAACCGUGGAGGGUCAUUGGAAACUGGAAAACUUGAGUGCAGAAGAGGAAAGUGGAAUUCCAUGUGUAGCGGUGAAAUGCGCAGAGAUAUGGAGGAACACCAGUGGCGAAGGCGACUUUCUGGUCUGUAACUGACGCUGAUGUGCGAAAGCGUGGGGAUCAAACAGGAUUAGAUACCCUGGUAGUCCACGCCGUAAACGAUGAGUGCUAAGUGUUAGGGGGUUUCCGCCCCUUAGUGCUGCAGCUAACGCAUUAAGCACUCCGCCUGGGGAGUACGACCGCAAGGUUGAAACUCAAAGGAAUUGACGGGGACCCGCACAAGCGGUGGAGCAUGUGGUUUAAUUCGAAGCAACGCGAAGAACCUUACCAAAUCUUGACAUCCUUUGACAACUCUAGAGAUAGAGCUUUCCCCUUCGGGGGACAAAGUGACAGGUGGUGCAUGGUUGUCGUCAGCUCGUGUCGUGAGAUGUUGGGUUAAGUCCCGCAACGAGCGCAGCCCUUAAGCUUAGUUGCCAUCAUUAAGUUGGGCACUCUAAGUUGACUGCCGGUGACAAACCGGAGGAAGGUGGGGAUGACGUCAAAUCAUCAUGCCCCUUAUGAUUUGGGCUACACACGUGCUACAAUGGACAAUACAAAGGGCAGCGAAACCGCGAGGUCAAGCAAAUCCCAUAAAGUUGUUCUCAGUUCGGAUUGUAGUCUGCAACUCGACUAUAUGAAGCUGGAAUCGCUAGUAAUCGUAGAUCAGCAUGCUACGGUGAAUACGUUCCCGGGUCU